GCUAUCUGGAAUUAGUCCCCUCAAUAGAACACAGGAGCAAAGUUUGAAGAAUUCUACAAAUCCUAAGUCAACUAGAGGUGGCAAGUUCAACCAAGGUCAAGGUCGGCAGCAGCAACAACAGUCUUACAAGCAGCAGAGGCUGAAGGCCGUCUUAGCCCUGAAGAAAGCAAAGAACCAGCUUGCUCGAAUAGACGCACAGGCAGCUGGCAGACAGAAUCAUGUCAACCAGCGCCGAGGGCUUCAGGCAUCAUCACAGCAGCAGCAGCAGCAAUAUCAAAACACUAACCGAGGCCGGGGCCGGGAGGGGCGGGUGGACGGGGUCGUCUCAAUCGACAAAACUACAAUGCAAGGGGAGGUAACCAAGUACAGAAUCAGGUCGAUGUCGCAUCAUAUGGGUUUGCUUAUCAGAACGUGAGUCGAGGGGGAGGUCGAGGACGUGGCAAACUACGUCGUCUUGGCAGCAACUACAGCAGCACCUUAUCUCUCAACUCCUCUGUGUCAAGUGGCACUGUCAAGCAGAAGAAGAGGCAAUGGCGCAGUCGGCCUGUUCAAGCUCCUUCAUCACAGAAUGAUGGAAUAUUGACGAUCUCCGUACAAAACCCUAGCUAUGAGUCUCCUCCACAACAAGAAUCGGUAAGCCAGUCCAAGAAGUAUAACUACAACAAAAGGCUCUUCGCACAGUCAGGGACCAAUGCUCCUUUAAAUGAGAGGUUCCGAGACAGCUCCGGGUCUUCCAGCAAUGGCUCCAGACAGGUGUUUUUGUGAUCACUCACUCAGCAUUCCUCUUAGGGAGCUUCAGGCCAAAGAUGUCUACCAACAAAGCUGAUGUUUCAAGGUCAAGGCUGUGCUACAAGAUCACAUCUGUUAUUAAAUGAUCUGUGAAGCGUGGAAGCAUCCGUUGCUAUGGUUACAGGAUUCCUGGCGUUCCUAUGUUUUCGGAGAUUGUGAUACUGUCAUUAGUACUGACAAUUCUUGGAAAGAAAAUGGUUUUAUGCGUUAUGAAACAAAUGGUGCUAAAACAUGAACAAUAUUUGCAACUUUGGCCGUUUUGUCAGUUAGACCAGAAGUUUAAAGGGAGGGAUAAAAAUGUUACAUGACAGUAAUGCUGCAUAGCGUUUGUGCUGGAGUGUUUGUUGAGAAAAGUGAUGAUUCAGCAUUUAUGAAACUGGUUAAUGUUUCACGUCAUAUCAGUGACUCAAUCUCAUUAAAAUCAAAUCUUGACUCUGAUAUCUGCAUGAAGAUCUGACAAACCCAAUCUCCAUCGUGGGUCAAGUCUAUGAACCAAGAAAUAACUUUGAAAGGCCAGUCUGAAUGAUGGAUCUGUGAGUUCUAGGGCCCAUCAGAUUUCAGCCCUUUUGUCUUUCUUUACCACAUUGUAAUAUAUCAAGGGGACAACAAAGAACGCAGAUAGUCCAUCGCUGGUUCUCCCUGUUGUGUGAAGUUUCCACUGUGCUCACAGACAAUGCAUUUGAUAUCUGCAACAAUAGUAGUGCCACUUUUAUUAUUUCAUUCAGAACUUACUGUUUAUGUUCAUUUUUGAAAGCUUCUCUGAAAUACUUGGUCUGGUAGUACAAAACUUUAAAAGCCUGAACUCUGCUAGACUGAUUAGAGCCUUGCCUGACACAUCCUUCCAUGAGCUGGUGGUCAGGGCCCGUUUCUCAAAGCAAUCGUAACUCAAAUACUUUAACAUAGACUUACAACAGUUGUAGCACUACGAUCUCUUUGUUAAACGGACCCAGAUCUUCACGCAGGAUUAUGAAAGAUAUGAUUGUCUUGAGAUUGAUCUGUGACAUUGUUGCCACUUUUAGAAGAAGAAUACUUUUAGAAGAUAUUUAUUUUGCCUUUUUUGUGAAAUGUCACAUGUGUACAAGGCUGCUCUUGCUUGAUACAAUCUAUUCAUAUAUGAAUAGUGUAGUAGAUUCAAGCUUAAUCUCACAGUGUUUAUUUUUGAAGGAUUUUAUCUUAAUCAUGUUAAUAGUGAGGAAACUUGUGACCUUUUACUGUCUUUCGUCGAGUUUGUAUGUAGUUUCUUAAACAUGUUUAGAGAUUGAUUUUAUUAAAGUUGAUGAAUUUGUAUUCAACAUUUGUACUUCACUGUUGUUGCAAUCAGAUUUUGAACAUGGCAGCAUUCUUAUUGGUCAGUCAGAAGAAUCAAAUGACGACAGUAUAGCUUGACUUCACAGGUGAAUCACUGUUGUCAUAUAGUACUAAAAUGUUAUGGAAUAUCCAGUACUUUCAUAUAACUAUAGCUAAUCUGCAUGUCAGAUUAUCUUCAGUAAUAUGAAAGAAUCGUAGUCCUUACCAGUUUUAAAGCUGUUCAAAGUUGUUUUGUUGACAUUUGAUUAUUCACAUAAAUCAGCAUUUUAUUCUGCAUUUUUGAUGCAUGAUUGAUGAAAAGUUGGCUGACUGAAGCCUUGUCAGCAUUAGUGCUUCUGUGUUUGGAAAGAUUCCACUUUUUAUAUAAAGAACAAUAAGGAAUAAGAUCUUAGAUGAUGUCGUUUUCAUGAGUUUCAAUGUGUUUUUUUCGAAUGUUUGAAGUUUUCCAAUCCAGAAGAUUCAACUGGAACAGUUAUGUUUGAAUCGCGUUUGUUUUACUCUGCUGAAUUGUACUUAAC